GAUGAACGCUAGCGAUAGGCCUAACACAUGCAAGUCGAGGGGCAUCACAUGAAGUAGCAAUACGGAUGGUGGCGACCGGCGCACGGGUGAGUAACACGUAUGCAACCUGCCUUCAACAAGGGGAUAACCCGUUGAAAGACGGACUAAUACCCUAUAACACAGGGGUCCCGCAUGGGAAUAUUUGUUAAAGGACAACCGGUUGAAGAUGGGCAUGCGUUCCAUUAGCUAGUUGGCGGGGUAACGGCCCACCAAGGCAACGAUGGAUAGGGGAACUGAGAGGUUUAUCCCCCACACUGGUACUGAGACACGGACCAGACUCCUACGGGAGGCAGCAGUGAGGAAUAUUGGUCAAUGGACGCAAGUCUGAACCAGCCACGUCGCGUGAAGGAAGACGGCCCUACGGGUUGAAACUUCUUUUAACGGGAAUAAAGUGCCCCACGCGUGGGGUUUUGCAUGUACCGUAUGAAUAAGGAUCGGCUAACUCCGUGCCAGCAGCCGCGGUAA
rnacentral:rRNA from 1 species